UGGGGAAUAUUGGACAAUGGGCGCAAGCCUGAUCCAGCCAUGCCGCGUGUGUGAAGAAGGCCUUAUGGUUGUAAAGCACUUUAAGCGAGGAGGAGGCUACUUUAGUUAAUACCUAGAGAUAGUGGACGUUACUCGCAGAAUAAGCACCGGCUAACUCUGUGCCAGCAGCCGCGGUAAUACAGAGGGUGCAAGCGUUAAUCGGAUUUACUGGGCGUAAAGCGCGCGUAGGCGGCUAAUUAAGUCAAAUGUGAAAUCCCCGGGCUUAACUUGGGAAUAGCAUUCGAUACUGGUUAGCUAGAGUGUGGGAGAUGAUGGUAGAAUUCCAGGUGUAGCGGUGAAAUGCGUAGAGAUCUGGAGGAAUACCGAUGGCGAAGGCAGCCAUCUGGCCUAACACUGACGCUGAGGUGCGAAAGCAUGGGGAGCAAACAGG
rnacentral:rRNA from 1 species